rnacentral:lncRNA from 1 species
AAUUCCUCUCGUUAUACAGGUGGGAGACUAUUUAACUAAGACAUAAAAAUAUUCCUCUCAUUAUACAGGUGGACGCCUAUUUAACUAAGACAUAAAAAUAUUACUCUCGUUAUACAGUUGGGCGCCUAUUUAUCUAAGACAUGAAAAGUAUUUCUCUUGUUAUACAGGUGGGCGCUUAUUUAACUAAGACAUAAUAAUAUUCCUCUCAUUAUACAGGUGGGCGCCUAUUUAUCUAAGACAUAAAAGUAUUCCUCUCAUUAUACAGGUGGGCGCCUAUUCAUCUAAGACAUGAAAAUAUUCCUCUCGUUAUACAGGUGGGCGCCUAUUUAACUAAGACAUAAAAAUAUUCCUCUCAUUAUACAGGUGGGCGCCUAUUUAUCUAAGACAUGAAAAAUAAUCCUCUCGUUAUACAGGUGGGCGCCUAUUUAACUAAGACAUAAAAAUAUUCCUCUCAUUAUACAGGUGGGCGCCUAUUUAACUAAGACAUAAAAAUAUUCCUCUCAUUAUACAGGUGGGCGCCUAUUUAACUAAGACAUAAAAGUAUUACUCUCAUUAUACAGGUGGGCGCCUAUUCAUCUAAGACAUAAAAAU